AAGUGUUACAGCUCUUUUAGAAUUUGUCUAGCAGGUUUUCCGGUCCUCAUCAGAAGACCCCA
rnacentral:snRNA from 1 species